CCAAUCGCGUAUAUUAAAGUUGUUGUGGUUAAAAAGCUCGUCGUUGAACCUUGGGCCUGGCUGGCCGGUCCGCCUCACCGCGUGUACUGGUCCGGCCGGGCCUUUCCCUCUGUGGAACCCCAUGCCCUUCACUGGGUGUGGUGGGGAAACAGGACUUUUACUGUGAAAAAAUUAGAGUGCUCCAGGCAGGCCUAUGCUCGAAUACAUUAGCAUGGAAUAAUAGAAUAGGACGUGUGGUUCUAUUUUGUUGGUUUCUAGGACCGCCGUAAUGAUUAAUAGGGACAGUCGGGGGCAUCAGUAUUCAAUUGUCAGAGGUGAAAUUCUUGGAUUUAUUGAAGACUAACUACUGCGAAAGCAUUUGCCAAGGAUGUUUUCAUUAAUCAGGAACGAAAGUUAGGGGAUCGAAGACGAUCAGAUACCGUCGUAGUCUUAACCAUAAACUAUGCCGACUAGGGAUCGGACGGUGUUAUUUUUUGACCCGUUCGGCACCUUACG
rnacentral:rRNA from 1 species